CACAGGUGGUGCUUACCUCUCUGCAGGCGGCGUGUUCGUCAAACACACUGCGUCUCUGUGCAGCAGCAGGUCGUUAAGGACUCUGGUCUGGGCUGAGGUCACCUCGUCACAGUGCUCCUCAUCAGAGUUCCUCCUGACGUAGUUCAUGAGCCAGUCGAAGAUCUGCACAUCACAGUGGACGGAAAUAUCCACCUCCUCCCACCUCUGUGGAUCUACGGACAAGUACUCAGCAAAAACUGACUCUUCCUGAGGGCGUCGACUUGGAGCCUGAUGGCACCAACAGAAACAUUUUUAAAUGCACUCUAACCCAAGUUACCAAAUAACAGUCAAUACCAAACACCAUCAACAAACAUUAUUUGGUGCUGAAAUUCAUUUUAAAUAAGUAUUGUACUGCUCUAAAGUGUUGGUGAUGUCUGACCUGUAACUUUGCCGCUGCUCGGGCUGCUUCCUGUCUCCAGCAUGUCACCGCUGUCCAGCAGCGUGGACAGGCCAUCUGGAGGGGAGGGGCUUCCUUCUGUCAGGGCAUUACAUUGGUUGUCCACAUGAG